rnacentral:rRNA from 1 species
GAUGCUAUGCGGGAAAGGAUGCUAUGGCAUCGCUGAGAGAGGACCCCGCGGCGCAUUAGCUAGUUGGUAGGGUAAAGGCCUACMAAGGCGACGAUGCGUAGCCGACCUGAGAGGGUGACCGGCCACACUGGGAUUGAGACACGGCCCAGACUCCUACGGGAGGCAGCAGUAGGGAAUCUUCCGCAAUGGGCGCAAGCUGACGGAGCAACGCCGCGUGAGCGAGGAAGGCUUCGGGUUGUAAAGCUAAGUCAAGGGGGAAGAGCGGCAAGGAGAGGGAAUGCUCUUUGCGAGAGGGUACCCCAAGAGGAAGCCCCGGCAAACUACGUGCCAGCAGCCGCGGUAAUCGUAGGGGGCAAGCGUUGUCCGGAAUCACUGGGMGUAAAGGGCGMGUAGGGGGUUCUACCAGUCUGGGGUGAAAGGCCAGGGCUCAACCUUGGGAAUGCCUUGGAAACUGUAGGACUUGAGUGCUGGAGAGGCAAGGGGAAUUCCACGUGUAGGGGUGAAAUGMGUAGAGAUGUGGAGGAAUACMAGUGGMGAAGGCGCCUUGCUGGAAAGUGACUGACGMUGAGGCACGAAAGCGUGGGGAGAAAACAGGAUUAGAUACCCUGGUAGUCCACGCCGUAAACGAUGAGUGCUAGGUGUUGGGGGCCGCCUGGGGAGUACGGUCGCAAGACUGAAACUCAAAGGAAUUGACGGGGGCCCGCACAAGCAGUGGAGCAUGUGGUUUAAUUCGAAGCAACGCGAAGAACCUUACCAGGGCUUGACAUCCCUCUGACGGUAUCAGAGAUGAUACGUCUUCGGGGCAGAGGAGACAGGUGGUGCAUGGUUGUCGUCAGCUCGUGUCGUGAGAUGUUGGGUUAAGUCCCGCAACGAGCGCAACCCUUGACCUGUGUUACCAGCACGUAGAGGUGGGGACUCACAGGUGACUGCCGGCGCAAGUCGGAGGAAGGCGGGGAUGACGUCAAAUCAUCAUGCCCCUGAUGUCCUGGGCGACACACGUGCUACAAUGGGCGGCACAACGGGAAGCGAGAGAGCGAUCUGGAGCGAACCCCUGAAAACCGCUCGUAGUUCGGAUUGCAGGCUGCAACUCGCCUGCAUGAAGCCGGAAUUGCUAGUAAUCGCGGAUCAGCAUGCCGCGGUGAAUCCGUUCCCGGGCCUUGUACACACCGCCCGUCACACCACGAGAGUUGGCAACACCUGAAGUCGGUGGGGUAACCCGAGAGGGGGCCAGCCGCCGAAGGUGGGGUCGAUGAUUGGGGUGAAGUCGUAACAAGGUAGCCAGAGMUC